rnacentral:lncRNA from 1 species
UCCUAAGCAUGAAGGAGGACCACAUGAGGAUCCUGGACACCUACUGCAUGAAUGUAUUCACCCUUUCAGGUCUAGGGACCUGCAUCUCCUGGACAGUCAGCCGAGUGUUUCCAUGAUACCAGCCAUACCUGAUGCCAGGAGACUCGCUACACUUGGAAGCUCUUCAAGGCAUGCUUAUCUUUGUGAACUGAAUCUUGGAGAAGCAGGAUUGAAAAUAAGAGCUAUCUUUGAGGCUCUAGCACCUACAAGAGACACCCUCCCUCUCCACCGUGGAUCACCUGUCUCACCCGUGUGAGUCUCCACACAGAAACCAGUCAUGGCCCUGCCUUUGCCCCCCUUGAAAUCACCCAAGAGGAUGCUUCAAACUCAGGCAAGCACAACUGAUACUCACUCUGCAUGCGACAGCAGGGGAGUGACCUUACGAGAAACUAAUGGGCCUCGCUUCCUGAGAAUCACUGUCAGAGCCCGUAACAUAAGAUAAAUCACAGCCAAGGAUUUUUGAAAAGUUUCCUGAUGAGAGAACCAUGACCUUUUCAAGGGUAGUGAUGGAUUGAUCAGGGCAAGCAAUAGGUAGAUUUUUUA